GAUUAGGGUUUAGAGUUUGGGUUUAGGGUAUAGGAUUAGGGUUUAGAGUUUGAGUUUAGGGUUUAGGAUUAGGGUUUAGGAUAUAGGGUUUGGGUUUAGGGGUUUGGAUUCGGGUUUAGAAUUUAGGGUAUAAGGUUUAGAAUUUAAAAUUUAGGUUUUAGGGUUUCGCUGGAAGCGUUAGCAUCGUUAAAAUUAGUGUUUUUAUUUUUUGUAGCUAUUUAUUGUUUAAUUUAAUAUUUUUUAAUUAAUAAUAUAUGUGAAAAUUUAAUUGAUUCGUGGGGUGAAUUUAAAGCACCCCUAAAUUC
rnacentral:lncRNA from 1 species